rnacentral:rRNA from 1 species
UACGGGGGGAGCAAGCGUUGUUCGGAUUCACUGGGCGUAAAGGGUGCGUAGGUGGCGAGGUAAGUCGGAUGUGAAAGCUCGGAGCUCAACUCCGAAAUGGCAUUGGAAACUACCUUGCUCGAGGGUUGGAGGGGGGACUGGAAUACUUGGUGUAGCAGUGAAAUGCGUAGAUAUCAAGUGGAACACCAGUGGCGAAGGCGAGUCCCUGGACAACUCCUGACACUGAGGCACGAAAGCUAGGGGAGCAAACAGG